UCGAGAAUUUUUCACAAUGGGGGAAACCCUGAUGGAGCGACGCCGCGUGGGGGAAGAAGGCCUUCGGGUUGUAAACUCCUGUCAUGCGAGAACAAUAAAAUGAUAGUAUCGCAAGAGGAAGAGACGGCAAACUCUGUGCCAGCAGCCGCGGUAAUACAGAGGUCUCAAGCGUUGUUCGGAUUUAUUGGGCGUAAAGGGUGCGUAGGCGGUGAUAUAAGUCUAGUGUGAAAUUUCGGAGCUUAACUCCGAACCUGCACAAGAUACUGUAUUGCUAGAGGAUUGUAGAGGAGAUUGGAAUUCACGGUGUAGCAGUGAAAUGCGUAGAUAUCGUGAGGAAGACCAGUGGCGAAGGCGAAUCUCUGGGCAAUUCCUGACGCUGAGGCACGAAGGCCAGGGGAGCAAACG
rnacentral:rRNA from 1 species